rnacentral:lncRNA from 1 species
ACACACUAAAAAUGGGAACCAUACAAUAUUCUCACACUUCACACAUUCCCAAUAGAAUAUAUACACAGACAUUCCAUUCACAGGGGAACAAAGACAUAUACGCACAUCAACACAGAGGAGGAGAACACACAAAAUACUCACCGGAAAAAGGAUAUUCUUCACACACAUCCCAUCUUCUCCACAUAGACCACCACAUUCACAUACACACAAUACAAUUCACACAGAGAAAGCUACGAAUACACAUACACUACACACACAAGCGUAUCAAAAAAAGAGGAGUAGCUCACUGGAAUAGAGGGAAAAAAGGAAAAACACACACCAGAAUACUCUCAAAAAUCCUCACUAUGGACUGAAUACAAACCUACUCCCAUAUUAUUAUCGACCUUCAACUAACGAGAUACUUCCAAUUUCCAUUCAGCUAAAACACUACAGAUACAAUACUCCACACACACAGAGAUCUAGUCAGAGUUGAGGGAAACAGAGGGGGUGAUCGGUGAUCGGGAAAGGAGAGAAAGGGUGAGAAAGAGAUAGACGGGGUAAAAAAUUUAGCCUUUUUUCCUUCUGAGUUCCUUCAUCGCCGAACUCGCCAGAGCUCCGGCAACACGAAAACGGUGAUCCCGAACUGCAUCACUAAAAUCCAUCGAAAAGUGGUAAAAAAUCGGUGACCCAAAUCUGUCACCACCGCAAUCCAUUUUCAUUUGAGCUUUCUAGUCGAUUGAAGAAUCUGUCACAAUUCAUUUCUUGUUAUCAAAUUGAUUGUUUGAUACUUGGCAUCGCGUUUGGCAAAACAUAGUUUGAGGCCGAGGUUUACUCGGAUUUAAUCUCAAUUUGAGGUAUUCCGGCACUGCUUCAUCGAAUAAUUUGGGACUGAAAUAAAAAUUGAUGUCCAUUUAUUUUAACUAUAUUUCUCAUAUUUUAUCUUAAUUUGGUGUUGAUGUUUUGAUUACAUGUGUGAUGAUAUGAUUUAGUAGUAUGGGUGGAGUGAAUUUGUACAAUUUUGAUUGUGUGAUUGAUCAAAAAUGAAUUUAGGGACGAUAUUAAAAAUUGUCUAAUUGAAAAUUUCAUUUGGUUUAUUUGAAUUGUUAAUUCUGAUUCAUGGAUGAUGUUCAAC